rnacentral:rRNA from 1 species
AGAGUUUGAUCCUGGCUCAGGAUGAACGCUAGCGGGAGGCUUAACACAUGCAAGUCGAGGGGUAACAGGGUUUUCGGAUCGCUGACGACCGGCGCACGGGUGAGUAACGCGUAUGCAACCUACCUUUUACAGAGGGAUAGCCCAGAGAAAUUUGGAUUAAUACCUCAUAGCACUAUUUUUUCGCAUGAUAAGAUAGUUAAAGUUUCGGCGGUAAAAGAUGGGCAUGCGUGACAUUAGAUUGUUGGCGGGGUAACGGCCCACCAAGUCUGCGAUGUCUAGGGGUUCUGAGAGGAUGAUCCCCCACACUGGUACUGAGACACGGACCAGACUCCUACGGGAGGCAGCAGUGAGGAAUAUUGGUCAAUGGACGCAAGUCUGAACCAGCUAUCCCGCGUGAAGGAUGACGGUCCUAUGGAUUGUAAACUUCUUUUAUGUACCAAGAAUGUGCCUUACGUGUAAGGUUUUGACGGUAGUACAUGAAUAAGCAUCGGCUAACUCCGUGCCAGCAGCCGCGGUAAUACGGAGGAUGCGAGCGUUAUCCGGAUUCAUUGGGUUUAAAGGGUGCGUAGGCGGCUUAUUAAGUCAGUGGUGAAAUCCUGCGGCUCAACCGUAGAACUGCCAUUGAAACUGAUAAGCUUGAAUAUAGUUGAGGUAGGCGGAAUGAGUAGUGUAGCGGUGAAAUGCUUAGAGAUUACUCAGAACACCGAUUGCGAAGGCAGCUUACUAAACUAUCAUUGACGCUGAGGCACGAAAGCGUGGGGAGCGAACAGGAUUAGAUACCCUGGUAGUCCACGUCGUAAACGAUGUUCACUCGCUGCUUGCGAUACAUAGUAAGUGGCCAAGCGAAAGCAUUAAGUGAACCACCUGGGGAGUACGUCGGCAACGGUGAAACUCAAAGGAAUUGACGGGGGCCCGCACAAGCGGAGGAACAUGUGGUUUAAUUCGAUGAUACGCGCGAACCUUACCUGGGCUUAAAUGUAGAUUGCAUGACGUGGAAACACGCUUCCCUUCGGGGCUAUCUACAAGGUGCUGCAUGGUUGUCGUCAGCUCGUGCCGUGAGGUGUCGGGUUAAGUCCCAUAACGAGCGCAACCCCUAUCGUUAGUUGCCAUCAGGUCAUGCUGGGGACUCUAGCGAGACUGCCACCGUAAGGUGAGAGGAAGGUGGGGAUGACGUCAAAUCAGCACGGCCCUUAUGUCCAGGGCUACACACGUGUUACAAUGGCAGGUACAAAGGGCAGCUACACAGUGAUGUGAUGCUAAUCUCGAAAGCCUGUCUCAGUUCGGAUCGGAGUCUGCAACUCGACUCCGUGAAGUUGGAUUCGCUAGUAAUCGCGUAUCAGCAAUGACGCGGUGAAUACGUUCCCGGGCCUUGUACACACCGCCCGUCAAACCAUGGAAGCUGGGGGGACCUGAAGUCUGUCACCGUAAGGAGCGGCCUAGGGUAAAACCGGUAACUGGGGUUAAGUCGGAACAAGGUA